CGGGCUGCUGAGAUGGAGCACUCCAAACUUAACCACCAGGCCACAGGGCCGGCCUCCAACUCUUUUAAUCUGUUAAAGGAUGUCCAUCAAAAAUCCACAAAACUCAAUAUGCGUGGUUUUUAAAGAAAGUCGACCAUGGAAACUACACUGAGAAUGAACAAAGCUUGCCCUUGCUGAACAGCUGCUGUCUCUGUCCCCGAGACCAUGAACAACAGACAAGACCGGACAGAGGCACUUGCUGAGGGAACCUACAAACUACAGUGACCUUCCCAGGACAGUGGGUCUACAAAGUCCUGCUCACAAAAAACACAUUCUCGUUAUCAACUGGCCUGUGUGAGAGCAAGGCGUGCAGCCACCAUUGCUCCCUCCAGACAGACAGCGAGGAGAUGGGGCUGCUGAGUGUCUGUGGUGUCUAGGGUCGCUCCUCACCCCAAAGAGGCAAUGAUUUCAGGAAGCGAAGGCUCUCAUCGCGGGCUGACUGAUGACAGGGUUUGGAAUGGAGGGUCUUGUGGACAGUUUGUGAAAACUCUCCCAAGGAGCUUACGAGUUUCUUCCACGUCUAAAAGGCCUGUUAACACUGAGCCACAUGAAAAAAUAAUACUCUGGAGCGGUUUUCCCCCCUCCAUGAUGUGAUUAACAUCUGAAACUACUCAAAUUAUACUCCAAUGAGGAAAACUUCAACAAGAAAAGCUCUCCUCAACAUUAAAAGAGUCUACUUGUUUUGUAAUCUGCA
rnacentral:lncRNA from 1 species